AGGAGGCUGGCAAGCAGGCCUCUCCAGGACCAAGUGGCGAAGGGCACUUCGUCACAUAGCCGAUUUCGGCUCCACACGCUCGACGACCAAACACCGCUGGUGAGACAAAGGAUCCAAGAUGGCCGGCCGCUGCGUGGUCGGUAGCCGAACGACGACCACCUAGGAAAGUCUUUAUGUGUGGGCUAUUAGGGGGUAGCUCAUUCGGUUCAUGAACAGCCCGUAUAGUCGCUGUUCGUGAAACGAAAUACAUGAAUGCUAGUGCCUUUUGGCUGCUAGCAUACAAAUUCUAUGCAAAAAGACAGUGUAGACCCAGGUUAUACAUAUUUUACAGCGGUUAGUACAGACAACCUUUUUAUACAUAUAGUCCAGCAUCCUACAAGUGGCUAGGUUUGCCACAAGGCUUUUCGUGCCAUUCCAGAUGAGGAUAUUGCUGAUUACAGUGUUGUGAAAGAAGCUCUGUUAACAAGGUAUUGUUACAAAGACUCGAUAUGACUUUAUUAUUGUUACCACAUCUUGUUACUGUUGCAUCCCUAUAUUAUUGACCCAGAGAAAAUACGAAUCCUUAUAACGAACGAUUCGUGGUACGAACGAGAGACCCCCCACUUAACCUCAUCACCCCUCAAAGUACCGAAUGACCGACCACCCGACAAGCGGAGGGUGUCGCCCAUUAACCCCCCAGGCUGCUGCGGUCUGCGGUUAACCACAAACAAAAUUGACGGGCACAGAGGAUCGCAUACAAAUUACCGAAUGGAAACUACCGAAGAACUCCCGAACGGAGACCUCCUACAGUGGGUCGUGUGGCAGCGAUUAGAAUGUGGUUUCUGCGGUUGACCGCAACUCAAGUACCGUGCUACCGAGCGGUCUCAAUUCAUAUACCGAACAAUUUCCACUACCAGACAGACAGCGGGGAUUCGCAUGAGCACAUAUCCGAUUUCAGUUCCAUAAGUUGGAGUCGAGGUCCCGCUGCUCAUUAAACCGCCUAAAAACAUGGCCGCCAGGGACUCACGACCAAAGUACCGAACAGACUUUAUACGGCAGAAAUUGCUCAUUCCGUUCGCGGGGUCUGAGCGCCAUUCGUAUAUUUAAUGUAUCCGAACUCAAGCUAUUGAAUGAAUGGUAGAAUGAACCGUUUUCCCCUACUAAUAUUGAAGUUAUGUAUUUUUAUACAGUUUUAUGAGGCAUAAUAAAACGUGGUCUUUUGUGCGCUUGGAGAUGAUUAGAUUGUAUAACCGUUGGCCUCAUUAUCUCCAAGCUGGGUGGGUACUAAUUCAAAUGAUACAUUGUACUGUGAUUGGUUACCUGUUUGUACUGUACCUGUAUUCCAUCAGGUCCAUAGGGGGCUGUCCUUGGACCUGAGGAAUUGCAUAAAUUGCCAUGUUUGUGUGCCAGUAAAGCCAGUUCAUUUUGACCCUCAA